rnacentral:rRNA from 1 species
AUGGCCAUGCUGCACGCCCCCGCCAGGAGGCCGGCGAACCCGGACACGACCAUUGCGCGCGCGUCGGGCUUGAUGGCGCUGACGUCGAGCAUGAGGGAGGCCGUGGAGACAAGCCCGUCGUUGGCGCCCAGCACCGCCGCGCGCAGCCAGUUGGCGCGCCCGGCGAAGUCGAUGGACGACUCGGAGUUGUCGACGUCGCCGCACAUCACGGCCGGGUUCUCGGCGUCCGCCACCGUGGCCAGCUUGGUGUUGUUCACGGCCAUGGCGUCCGGGAGCUUUUUUUUCGAACCCGGCUUCCCCUUUCCAUUACUUAUCAUAACGGAAAUACAUUCUCAGGAACUGAAACUAGCAGGGCUAAGAGAAAGAGAAAAAGCGAGUUCGGGGCAACACCAGGAAACCCAUUAUCUGCGUCUGUCAUCAGAAACAACAAUCAUGGGGCGAAAACCUGAUGUCACCUAA